rnacentral:hammerhead_ribozyme from 1 species
AUCCUGUUGACGAGUCCCAAACAGGACGAAACGCGCGUCCUGGAU